UCAGGUAUGUAUGCAACUUAAUGUUAUAAUUUUAACUAAAUGAAGAGACGCUUAAGAAAUUGCUUCAUAUGAGCGGUAUGUGAAUUACACGUAUCUGGCUACAAAUUCUCUGUUCUAAACAAUGCAUUUGUUGUUCAUCGAGGUCUGAAAACCCCCUCCUCUUUCCAUAAAGAUAAAGAAGUGGAUCAAGAAAAGAACAGACAGUUGUUCAGACAAUUCAAGUUUGAACUGAAAGAAAAAUAUCCCGACUCUUCUAGAAAAUGUUACUGAAUGGGAAGCGGUGUUGUUAUAAACAUAAUACAAACAUACUCUGCGGAAAAUUAUAUUCCAUUUGCGGACUGGUGAAAAUCUAAGAUGCGAGUCGUUGUUGUUGUGUUUGGGUCAACAGACCGAAGGUGCAUGGAUUUUCACUGAAGUUCUUAACUGUACUUAAUAUCGUUUAUUUUUACGUUUUUCCUAUUCUAAGUAAUAGGAAAUGAAUCUUGUAAUUUUCCUCGUAAGAUGGUGAGUGUGAAGUGUUGUUCUACAUGCUUCAAAGUUAUUAUGUCUAAAUAUUUAAGUACGACAGUGUUUAUAGAAACAAACUCUUUUCAUUUAUUCACUUACUUUCUCAUUUGCCGACAAACUGUUGUUUUUAGAAUACUUAUCAAAGGCGCACCCAUUUAUUCUACCUCUUUCUGCUGUAAGUUUAGAAAAAGAAUAUAAAGUUUCACCUAUGAAGGUGGUCAUAUCAAGAAAAAAAGAAAAUUCCAUAUCAUGUUCAUAUAUUAAAGUACAAAUAAUCAAAAAAUUUAACUCAAUUUGGUAAAAUAAACAGUGAGUAUUUCUGUGAAUAGAUGCUUUUUAAGAAAUUUGUAUAAAUACAUGUCUUUUACUGUAAUUGAAGCGUUAUUAGUGUUUAAAAAGUUAUUGUAUUUUUAUUGCCGUAGUAAUUUUUAUUGCCGUAUUUUUUUGUAAUGUCAAAGAAAUAUUCUGUUACUUUCUCACAGUCCGUUCGUUAUCUGUAACCUUGCUAUUAUGCGUUAUUAUUUUAUUAUUUAUUUAUUGUUUAUUAGGUAUUAUUUAUUUUAUGUAUUUAAUAUGUAUUAUUUAUUUUAUAAUUCUGUGCAUUAAUUGUGAAUUUUAAAUUUACGUUAAUCUGUGCUAUAGUUACUUUUUUUUCCUGCUGAUUACAAGCGUCACUCUGAAAUUUUUGAGAUACAGAUAAAAGCUAAACAUACCAAAGUUAAACUUAAUUACAAAAAUUGCAUAAGUAAAGCUUAAUAAAUCUUAGGAGCGUUCAAAGUCCUGCUAUCCAACGUCAAUGCAUCUUUGCAGGCGGUUAUUUAUAAAAUUAAAUGGCAUAAACUAUAAUAGAAAGUCAUACAUUUCAUGGAAAUUAUGAAAAAUAUGCUUUUAUAGCCUCAUCUCACCUUCGGAAUGAAAUCGAUAACCAAAAUAAAAAAAAAAAAGCAAGAUCAGCAUAAUAGGAUUUAUGCUCUAUCUCUUUUAUGUUUUUGUUUUUGUUGUUGUUGUUCAAGAAAUUGAACUGACAAUUUUACUGAAUGAGAGGAUGCUUUAACAUGGCGAAGCGUGAGUCGCAUAUUUUUCACUUUUUAAACAAUUCUCAAGACCAGUUACUUAUUGAACUUAUUGGAAAACCCGUUAGUUGUAACUGUCUUCUGUCCCUCUGACAUAAUGGCUUUGACCAAUCCUGUGUUUCUGAAGAAAAUGGUACACAUUGCUCUUUUCAUUGCUCGUUAUCUUUUCCUUAUUUUCGAUUUGGGGUCAUCAGCAAAGACCCUUGCUUUACUUUCUUGGCAUAGUGGAAUGUCAAAACGGUACAUAUGUUUCAUCAGCUGUUAUAAUUUUAAAAAUUAUGCAAUGUCCACCACUAUUAAGUAGUUUUAGAAUUUCGUUACAAAUCCUGAUGCGGUCCGCUGUUUGGUGUUCUGUUAAUUUAUGGAGGACCCAACGAAAAGCUAACUUUUUGCAUAUGUAGGUUCUGAUGAAUAAUUUUAUGUACAGCGGCGUAUCCAGUGUUACGUAUUUCCUGUAUCAUUUGAUAAGUCCAUCGAUUGCCAUUUUACGUUUGGCAGACAUAUUUUCUGGGACUACAGCGUAUUUCUAUGUGAUCCCACGAAAGAUAAAUUUCAACUGUUGCCAUAAAUCAUCGUCUACGGACACAAUGUUCAAAUUUACACUUCAGCGAAUAAAUUUUGCUUACCCGAUAUUAUCCACCUUUGUCUCAAAACUUUCAGAGUUGCCUACGUAUACCUUGAUACCGCCAUGUACAUUUUUGGGGGUUCAUCUUCAAUAUGAACAAGUUGCAAAAAUUUUGUAAAAACCUAUAGAAUGCUUUAAUAUUCAAACUACAUUCAACACAUUUGCGGCUUACAUAUUGCUAAUUUCUUCACAGUAGCAAAUUAUAGCAUCUCCUCAGACUAUCAAAAAAAAAAAGGUACGAAGGAAAUCAUACAUGCAUGAAACAGUAUCUUACAUUUCUCAGUUUUCGGCAAAAUAAAUUAUUCUUAGUAUUAUUAAAAGCUGUUCUCAGAAAGAUUUCAAGCUACUUCAAGGAAUAAUGUUAGUUUAGUUUGAAUAAAUCUGGAAGUAUGAACUCGUGACGCAUAACCAAAGAGUCAGCAGAAAAUGUAAUGUAAGUUGUAAAUAUGUAACGCAGUCAAAUAGAUAAAAAGUGUGCUUUUCAAGAUACAUUAAUGUAUUUCCACUCUAUCAAUAUGUAGUGAAACAAUAAUCAGUUUCUUUUUGUGUGAUACUUACUUUUACAUUCUUUUUCAUGUGCUCCACAAGUACAGUUUUAUUUACUAGAAAUUUAAUAACAAACUGCAUUUACUUCAAACAAAUAUUUGCAUUUAGAAAAUUACACCUAAAAGUGUUAGUUACAGUUCCAUUCCAAUUUGAAAUACGAAAGAAUAUUAAUUUACGAAAAAUGAGAUCAGAAUAUUUUGUAUUAAUACUUUUAUAAGUAAUAAAACUUUUUAAGAAUACGUAAUUAACGUAAUUUACUGGUUUAAAACUUAUUAGUUGCUACUCUAAAAAUACUUUCGCCUUAUUAUUUGUUGCAAAAUUACAAAUAAAGGAAUUAGUAAAUCGUAAAAGAAUAUCAUUGAAUGGCAUUUAAGGCGAAAAAUACAACUUGGUAUUCUUCUUAUUUUAUUAUUAACUUACUUCUCAAUGCAAAUUCAAAAUGAAGUCGAAAAUCACAAAUUUGAAAUUAAAUAUCUCAGUCAACUUUUUUCGCAUAGCGGUCAAACAUUUUGCGUUUUAUUUUUUAUAGCGAGAACAGAAUUUCACGAAAUAUAACUACAGGAAACGUAAGAACAUAUAAAAAGAUAGAUUUUGCAGUUUUUACAAAAUUUACUUUUUGCUACAUUUAUAAAUGCCCAAACGAGAACAUUUGUGCCAUUUAAAACAUUUUUGAAAUUAGAUGUAUGUUUUCAAAGUGCAUGUCUCGGUUACGGUUUGCUGUGGGCGAAGUGUACACUCUAAAUGACAGAUCUAUUCAGUAAUGCAUUUUACUGAGUCUGAAGUCACAUUUUAAAGCAUCUGAGCAUUGGUGUAAACUGCCGUUGUAAAAAUCUUCUUUUAUAACGAUUUAUCCGACCAACGGUAGGGACGGGUAAGGACUGUUCCACGCACCGUGCAUGUGUACGUACCAUAUACAUGGAGAUCGAAAAUUUUACUUAUCAAAUUUACAAAAAUUGGGAAAAUUCUGAAAUAUACAUUAUCGUUCUUACAGAAAAGCUGUUCGAAGCAUUUCCAUAUUUGCAGUUCGAGUGUAAUCCUUGGGAAAGUUCUUCCAAAUUUACUACAUCAACGAAUAACUAAAUAUUCCCCUCCAUAGUCUAAAUUUAUUUUUAUGUAAAAUUCGAAAUUAAAAUUAUUUUAGUUAGGUUGCUUUAUAAGAGUUCCACAGAAUAGAAGAUUUUAAUUCAUUUUUGUUUAAAUAAAUCAGAGUAAAAGGCAGACAAAAUGUUCUCAAGAACUGCGUUUAUUGCUUUUAACUUACUUAGUGAUUUUAAUGCGGAAAUACGGAUUAAACGUGAAAGUUUUACUGAAUAGCCACAUGCUGGGACACGGAAUAUAAAAACGUUUUAUUUAAGGGCAGUGGCAAUAAAUUGCUUUGAAACAGCCUAGUUUGUUAAUUAAAACCGAAAGUUAAAUAAAUUAAAGUUAAAUACCUUACGUUUUACCAAAUGACAACAAUCUGGCGCACUGGAAAUAAAAAUGCUUUUUCUCGAACAGUGGCAACACUGCUCGCUUUGAAAUCAUUGAAUUUUCAAAAUCUCAUUAAAAUCAUGCAAAAUAUGAAGUAAAUCAAAAACAACUUCGGAAUUCAAAAUUCUUGCAUCGGGUUGCACAUCUUCGUGAGGAGGAUUACGCGUGUUUAAAAUCUGGCAGUUCUAGGUGCCGUUAUUCCGCAAUGAGAAGAAUACAGGUACUGCGUGCACACAUACAGGCUCUUCAUUAUUCAUUAAUAGGGUUUGUGCCUUAUUUAUGAAAAGCGUCUAAAUUAUGAACGUCUUUCUAUAAUUUAAUUAAACAGAAAACAUAAUUGAAUUUUCUUGUACACAAAGAAUAUUAGCUUUUAUAAGGUCAUUAAUGCUGUACAUCUAAUUUUUCGUAAUCAAUUAUUUUCUUGUUUAUACUCUGUUGUAUGAAAAGUAAUAAUGACAAUUAUUAACCUACCUUUAUUUUAUUUAUCAGAAAGAAUCAUCAAACCCAAUUAUAUUGUAUUGUUAUUUCAAUGAAACAGACCUGCAAUUUUUCUUUCCUAAAAAAAUAAAAUAUCGUACACUUAUUUUCUUUUCUUUGAACCUGUCAAUUAAUUGGAGAGAAAACAUUUACCUAAUUGAUAUUAAAUUGCAGCUAAUGGUCGUAUCUCAAAAAAGAAGAGAACAAAAAAAUUUUUUACGAUCUGAAAUAAUCUUUACCAAUUUAAUAUCACAAAAGAUUUAAAUAUAAUCAGUUUAUUUUAUUUUUAUUAUAAUAAAUCUUCGCUGAGUCAAAGGAAAUGAAUUCUUUUAGAAAUAAAUGUGUCUGUCUCCAUAUAAUGAAAUUACGUUUAAAGAUAUCAACACGAUUAGUUUGUUUAGAAAAUUCUUUUCAAAUGAGUAUUUCAAAUUAACAUUUUUUAUCCAUAAGAAAUUUAUGGUAUUUUAUACUUUUAAUUCCGCUAUUAACUAUGUAAAGUGACUCAUCUUUGUUUUCGGGCAAUUGUAAUUUUGAAAUUUACUGGCAUAGAUGUUGUACUAAGUAUUGAAACAGACCGCACAUAUUUUCUUAAUAUAUUAUUUUUCCUCUAUAUUAAGACUGUUUGUUACAAAAUAAGUAUCAUCAAAAUAUUCUUUGCAAUAAAAUAAUUUAUUCCAGAAGUGUUAUCUCGAUGAAGUGUUAAUCGAUGACUUACAAAUUGAUUCGAACAUUCGAAAGUUUCGUUGUGAUGUUUUAGGAAGCAAUGUUUCUUGCAAUAUUUUUUUUAAUUUUAAAUAAAAAUGCAUCACAAGAAUUAUCGUCUAAGUUUUUAAAUUGUUACUGGUUCAGCAAAAUAUUUUAACAGCUCCGUAUCUCAAGUAAACAUAGCAAGACACUGAAAAUUAAUAGCAAGUUCUGUUCGAAAUUUAAUUAUUCACGAUUUUAAAGAUGAUAAAAGCAUUCAAAUCAAAAAACUUUUGAUAGAGUUCAACUUUCUUCACUACAUUAAAACGAUCGAAAUAGUUUGGAAUUAUUCAAAUUGCACUGAAGACUGCCCUACAUUUCCAGAUAAGGAAUCACAGAUUUAUCCUAUGAAAAAUCAAAUAAAACCCAAAAAAUAUUACUGUAAAACUUCCAGUAUAGAAGAAUGGCUUAGAAUGAAAGUUAAUUCUGGAACUGUUAAAAUAGUCAUUAGAACAUUUGGAUACAAUGGGCGAUCAGCAAGAAAAAAUGUUUCGUCAACAAAAAGCAUAGAAAAUAAUGAAACUAAGCCUGGCGUGGGAAGGCAAAGAUUUAUCAGACUGAAAUAAUGUUAUGUUUGCGGGCGAGUCGAAAUUUAAUAUAUUUGUAUCCUAUCUACGAAUUGCUGCAAGGCGAAAAUCAAAUGAAGAAUUGAAUCCGAAAACCUUUUGCUUUCUGUUAAGCCUGAAGGAGGAAACAUAAAAUUUUGGGUAUGCUUCGCUGCCUCUGGGAUGGGAAAGUUACUUUUUAUAGAAAAUAAUAAGGAUCAAUAUAAAUAUAUAGUAAAUAUUCUUAAUGAAAAACGUGGGCACGUUUGCAAGAGAACUUAACAAACAAAAUAUAUUCCAGUUCUAUCACAAUAACGAUCCUUAAUAUACUGCGCUAAAGUUCGUUUGUGGUUAUUAUACAAUCGUCCUGAAGUUAUUAUCAAAACUCCUCCAUAUAUUCUCCAAACUCCUCCUCAGAUCUAUCUCCUGUGCAACUUGUAUGAAAUGAGCUGGUCAAAAGAAUAGAAAACCUGAUACCUCUGCUAAAAGCAGCUCUCAUGUAAAAGUAAAACUUUGUUACACAUACACACACACACACACACACACAAAAAAAAAAAAAAAAAAUCUUCAGUGACAAGGGGUAAACCGGCAGCCAAGGUCAGUAAUAAGGCGUCACUGUAUGCAACCACACGUUAUAAGUUUUUACAAAACUACCGCAGAUUUCACCGAAAUAAACUACAAUAACUCACAUUUAUUUUCGGGCACAUGUAUUUUUGAAAUUUUUUUCCAUAGAUCUUGUACUAAAUAUUGAAACUUAAGCUUCAAAUGUUUUUCUAAUAUACUAUAGUUUUUCUAGUUUAAGCCCUGCUUGUUGUAAAGUAAAUAUCAUCAAAAUAUUCAUAGUAAUGAAAUAUUUUUUUAAAAAAGUCAAUAACUCACACAAUAAUUCGGACAACUCAAAUGUGUGUUGAAAUGUUUAGCUACUCAGUGUUUCUUGUUAUAAUAUCUUGUUCUAAAUGAAAAUACAUCGAAAGAACUAUCGUAUACAUUUAUAAAUUAUAUAAAGUAUAUUAAAAUUUCAUAUCUGAAAUGAAUAUCUCAAGCCACCACAAGUUAAGAAAAAUUCUGUUAGAAAUUUAAUAAUUUAUUUUUGAAAGCUACUGAAGUAUUAUGAUAUCCAAAUUUCCAAAACACUUUUCAUGUAAAACGUAACUUUUCAUGUAAACAUGUAAGUUUUUUCAUAUUGGAACACUGUUGUAUUUGCAGAAAUAUAUUUAGAUUUAUAUUUAUUAAGUUUAAUAUAUUUGGGUCUAAAGACGAAUUAUUAAGUGGCAAAAGCCGAAUUAAGAAUUGAACUCGAAAAGUCUUUUGACUAAUGUUAUGUGCGGUUUUGAGAUGUUUUGAUGCCUUUAAAAUAAGAAAUUUAAUUUUUAUAGAAAUAAAUAUAAAUUGGUAUAAAUAUGUUAAAUAUUCCUAAUGAAAAUUUGAAAGCAUGUGCAAGAAAAUUUGGAAUGCAGAAUGCAUUCAAGUUCUAUCAGAAUAACGAUCAUGAACAUGCAGCCUUAAGUGUUUGCUAGGGGAUAUUAUAUAACGUUUCUUGAUAUUAUCAUAUCUCAUCCAUAUUAUUCAGAUUUUUUCUAUAGAAUAUGCAUGGAAUCAGUUGGAAAAAAAAAUAGGUAAGCACGACAUUUCAUUGAAAGCUCUGUUGAAGGCAAUUUUUAAGGAGAACUGAAAAAACUUGAAACCUUUUUACUCGGAAAAAUUAGUUAAAUCCUUGCCAAAUCACAAGAAGAACCACCAUUUUAGCUAAAAUGUAUCUAAUGAAGUAUUAGAUGUUCCAUUACUUUCAUGUUUCUGUUAAAUAUAAACUGUUUAUUCAAAGUGCCCGAAUACUUAUGUGAGUUCAUUUCAAAACUUCUUCAAUAAAAUGUUUUCUUUCUUCUUUUUUUUUUUUUUUUUUUUUUCAAAAACGUGUCGAAUAAUGUUUUCGAAAAGAAGCAGGUUUUAAAAAGGUGAUCACUAGUAUACCUCAAAAGAAAAGUCAUUUUGCUAACAUUUAGUAAGUCAUUUAUAAAAAUAAAACUGAAGAGCACAAGUGUCCGAAAACAAUAGCUGAAUUUCUCGGCUCCUGGGAAUUUUCAGCAUUUCUACACAAAUUUGAAGAAAUAAUGACUUUUUUUUUUGUGUGUGUUCUCAAUUCUGGUUAAUCUAUGAUUUGUGAUAAGUAAAUGUAUACUAAUUUGUAUUAGUAUUGUUAAUUAUUUAUUGAAAUAUAAAAAUGUAUUGUAUUUCAUCAUUGUUAUUUUUAGAAGUUUUCGUUAUUUAUUAUUGUUAAAGGUACUUGUACAAUUACAGUACUUUUCUGUUAAAUGUUGUAUCAUGAUAUUGCUUUUGUUAAAAAUAAAAUGCUUUUGAUUUAAAUAAGCUUCAAGUAAUUAAAAAUUAUGAAUUAAUAGGUAAAAAUAAUAAAUAUACCUAUUUACAAAUACCCUAUUUCCUCGCGUAUUUCCCUCCUUUUUUUACUUACUUAAUCGUCUGAAAAUCGAGAGGGAAAAGUUAUACGAAUAAUUUAAUUUUCGAAGGAAGCGGUUGCAGUAAGAACAUAGCAAAUUAAAAGCAGUCGUGGAUAAACUACCGGUUAACUCUCACAGUAUCAUUUCUUUAAAAUAAACCUACAUUCCGAUAACAUACGUAAUUAUAAAAUUAAUAUUACAGUAUCUAAUAAGCUAUCUUCAUUGAAUCUCGCAUCUUCUCAUUGUUGUAUAUACUACACCUUAGGCCUCGAAACAUCUAUAAAUAAUGACAGAAGGGGAAUGCGUAGCCGACUCCGCGAAUGUGUACACUUAAUGUCAAGUCGUGUUGGCUUCCGUGUGAUGAAUCAGCUCUUGUAUUAGACUAGUUAAAGUUCAACAGUUAGAAGAGAGAGUUUAGGCGUGACCUAUGCAGGUAAUAUGCGAGGAUUUGACAUUGUUAGUAAGACGAAAGCAGCCAUUAUUUGUAAUUUAAAAAUUCCAUUUUAAAAUUAAGGAAAACUUUUCUUCCAAACACACUGAGGAAGAGGAAUGUGGAACUAAUGUUUGAGAAUAUUUCUUUAAAAUGCUAAGGGGGGGGAAAUGCGAGAAAAUGCGAUAUCCGUGAAAUUCGUUAUAUAUAAUCUUUAUACAUUUGAAUGCUCGCUUGUGUAAAAUGCAUUUAAGUCUGUAGCAAAUUCGACGGUACUGAAAUGUUAGUUUGUUGUACGCAGACGGGGAGGCGUUGUGAAGGGGUUCGUCUGUAUUCGCAUUCCGAAUAGCGUAAAUAAAAGAAAAAAAUAUUCGCAAUAACGCAUGUAAAUUUUGAUAAAAAGUGAUAUGCUUUACAUUAACUAGAAUUUUUAUUAUUUGACGAUUUCCUUAACUGCAAAAUAAAAGGAAAUUAUAACGUUUUCUACUUGACAACUGAUAACAUGUCAUGUGGUGUUUGCAAGUUUAUAUCCAUUAAUUACUGUCAAAUGAUUAUGUUCAGUUAUCUACUACAUUCUGUUAUUGUACGUUAAUGUAUUUUAUUUUACUGUUUUAUCUGUGUUGCAUAUUUGUAUGCACCGUUGUUGAUUUUGUACAUAGAGUCUAAGGCUUUUUUUGAAAAAUGUUGAUGAAUAAAUAAUGACUAGUCACAGUUCUGCAUUGAAAAUAAACGUGAAUUCAUUUUCG